AUUGAACGCUAGCGGGAUGCCUUACACAUGCAAGUAGAACGGAGUGGCGAACGGGUGAGGAAUGUAUCGGAACGUGCCCAGUAGCGGGGGAUAAAUACGCGAAAGCGGAGCUAAUACCGCAUACUAUUGGAGCGGCCGAUAUCGGAUUAGCUAGUGGGUGGGGUAACGGCGCACCAAGGCGACGAUCCGUAGGUGUGUUGAGAGGACGACCAGCGACGCGGGGAUCGGGCGACGGCCCCGACGCCUGCGCGAGGCAGCCGUGGGGGAUUUUGGACUAUGGGGGAAACCCUGAUCCAGCCCUCCCGCGUGUGCGAUGAAGGCCUUCGGGUUGUAAAGCACUUUUUGCAGGAAAGCGGUACCUGCAGAAUAAGGACCGGCUAACUACGUGCCAGCAGCCGCGGUAAUUC
rnacentral:rRNA from 1 species